GCAGGGUGUGGUGGUGCACGCCUGUAAUCCCAGCGGCCCAGGAGGCUGAGACAGGAGGAUUGUGAGUUCAAAGCUUCAGCAAAAGUGAGGUGCUAAGCAACUCAGUGAGACCCUGUCUGUA
rnacentral:sRNA from 1 species